rnacentral:rRNA from 1 species
AAUGAACGUUGGCGGCAUGGAUUAGGCAUGCAAGUCGAGCGAGAAGGGUUUUGAAGCUUGCUUUGAAACCCGGAAAGCGGCGCAAGGGAGAGUAACGAGUAGUUAUCUACCCCAAGGCCCGGAAUAGCUGCGGGAAACUGCAGGUAAUGCCGGAUAAUAUCCCCGGAUCACAGGUGGUAUUCCGCCUUGGUAGGGGACUGCCUUGUACUAGCUAGUUGGUAGGGUAAUGGCCUACCAAGGCUACGAUGCAUAGCGGGCGUGAGAGCGUGGCCCGUCUCACUGGGACUGAAACACUGCCCAGACACCUACGGGUGGCUGCAGUCGAGAAUCUACGGCAAUGGGCGAAAGCCUGACCGAGCGAUGCCGCGUGCGGGAUGAAGGCCCUCGGGUUGUAAACCGCUGUCGUAGAGGAGAAAGGUCUGAUGAAGAAUCAGAUUUGAUCUAUUCUAGGAGGAAGUCCGGGCUAAGUUCGUGC